ACGCUCGACACCUACGGGAGGCAGCAGUGGGGAAUAUUGCACAAUGGGGGAAACCCUGAUGCAGCGACGCCGCGUGAGCGAAGAAGUAUUUCGGUAUGUAAAGCUCUAUCAGCAGGGAAGAAACUGACGGUACCUGACUAAGAAGCACCGGACUAAAUACGUGCCUGCAGCCGCGGUAAUCUGAGCGGGCUGGCAAGGC
rnacentral:rRNA from 1 species